CACGGUUUUUUCUAAGACUGAUGCUUUACUGUCAAGUUACAAUGGUAAUGGAAGCAUGUUGUCCUUGGGACUUGGCAGAUACUCUUAAAAGAAACCAGCUUGAAAAGGGUGUAACUUUCCCUUUGGAGAAGGUCAUGGCAACUGGGAGAGGCUCCUGAAGUCUGAAAGAGAGCAAAUGUUACCCCUAAAUUCAAGAAGGGCAAUAGGAAGAAGACCUGGGUGACUAUGGUCCAAGCAGCCUCACUGCAGUCUCUGGAAAGCUGAUGGAGAAAACACUCCUGGAAACCAUUUCCAAACACACAGAAGACAAGAAUGUGCUUAUGAACAGUCAGCAUGGAUUUCCGAAGCACGGAUCACGCUUUACUACCCUGUUAAACUCCUAUGAUGAGGUGAAUCAGAAAAAUGGAGCACAAAGUCCUGCCCCUGGGGAAGAACUAUAUAAGGCACAAGGACAUGCUGGGAACAUCCAGCUGGAAAAGCAGCUUGGCAGAAAAAAAGGACCUGGAGGUGGACAGCAAGAUGGCCAACAGACAGCAAUGUGCCCUUGCUGCAUAGAAGGGUAAUGGUGUUCUGGGCUGCAUUAGUAGGACCAAUUGUAGUCUUAACCUGGGGAAAAUAAGGAAACCUUAAAGAAAACAGGGAGAUGGGUAGCCUUGAGAUAGCAGAAGCAAGGGAGAUAAAGGAUGAAAGGUUAAAAAAACAAAGCAAAACAAAACAAAAAAAUAGCUGCAGGAAGAUUCCAGAUUGACCUGUGGAAACCUUUAGCUCAGUAAAGGUCAUUAACAUAUUAAAAACCACACCCAUCAAAAUACUAAUGUAUGUUAAUGUGGGAUUUGGUUCCUCUCCACACACACACACACACACACUCUUUGUCCUCUGUAAUGUGCAAACUCAAAAGAGGUAAGUUAGGCGAGAUGAAAUAGCCAAUUAAAACUAGCAAAAGAGAUAGUCUCACAAGUUUGCUGUGUAUAAAUAAUGGUGAUUCAAGCCAGAGGUGUCCUUGCUUUGUGAAAGAUUGCCAAACACCUGACUCUGCAGAGUUACAUAAUUAAUUAUUUGUGCUAAUAAUGCAGGGAAGUGGAAGCUAGCAAUGACAAGGACCAGCAGGAGGAAGUGUCUUCCCCUAAAGCCUGAGGUGUUCUUGCAGAAUCAUUUUAUCCCCUGCAGAUGGAAAAGGAACAAAAGACCCAUUGCAGGGGUGUGGAACUGGGUAAGGCAGCCUGAUUUGCUGACCCAAUCUGCUCUUGAGUAAGUCUGCUGCUUACCAGGGGCUCACACCACCAAGAAACAGACAAGACUCAUAAUCCUAAGGACUAUUACCUGCUGCUGCUCUUCCAUGUGGGCACCAGAGCAGCUGGAGCUGUCUGGGGACUGUCAAGAGAGUUUAGAGAGCCCUGGGAGCAGCAGAAAAGACUCAGUAGCACAGGUAGCAUUUUCAUCAGUCCUCCAGCUCAAGGGGAAGGGUUUUGAAAGGGACAGUCAAAUCCAACAAAUCAACAGAGGUGUGCAGGACUGGUGCUACAGACGGAGCUACUUAGACAGUAGGACUUGCUUUGAGGAACCUGGUCUGAUGGGGACUGAUGGAGUCCACUUGUCAGAUAAGGGGAAGAACAUUUCUGGUGACAGGCUCACCAAUCUGGUGAAGAGGGUUUUAAACUAGAGUUUCCAGGGGAGGAGAACCUCUGUCGAUCAUACUCCUCCCAACUUGAAGACAGUGUUAGAAAUGGAUGUCCAGAGUCUGGAGAAGGGUCACGGAUCAGCAGGAGGGCACCUGAAAAGCAGCGCAAAGGAAUUCCAGCCAUUCCAGCUACUCCAGUCAGUAAGGCAGCUUCAUCACAGACCCAAUUUAAAUGUCUCUGUGCUAGCUCACCUAGCACAAGGAACAAACAGAAUUACAGAUGCAGGGCUAUGACCUCAUUGAUACUAUGAAGACAUAGCGGGUGGCUUCCAAGACUGGAGUGAUGGAAUCAAAGGAUACAGGCACUUUAGGAAGACAGACAGGGGAGAUGGCAAUGCCCUCUGUGUCAAGGAGCAUCUGGAGUGCAUGGAGCUCUGCCUGGGGACAGAUAAGGAGCUUACAGAAAGCUUAACUUCCUUUUCCCAGUGAUAGAGGAGCCAAUGAAGAGAUGUGCUGUGCUGGAUCUCAUUCUCACCAACAAGGAGAAGGUGGGGUGUGUGAAGCUCACAAGCAGCCUUGGCUGCAGUGACCAUUAAAUGGUGCAGCUUAGGAUCCAGAGGACAGUGAGGAGGGAGCACAAAAAGCUUGCUACCCUGGAUAUUGGGAGAGCAGACUUUGCCCUCGUCAGGGGUCUGGCUGGUAGAGUGCCAUGGGACAAACCCCUGGAGGGAAGAGGGACCCAGGAAAGUUGCUUAAUGUUCAAGGAUCACUUCCCCCAAGGUCAGGAGCAAUGCAUCCCAGCAAAGAGAAAGUCAGGAAAAAACACCAGGAGGCCUGCAUGGGCGCACAAGUAGGAGCAAGGAUGAAUAACCUGGGAGGGAUACAGCAACAUUGUCCAAGCAGUCAGGGAUCAGGUUAGGAAAGCCAAAGCAUUCAUAGAAUUAAAUUUGUCCAGGGACUUCAACUGCUACAAGAAAGUUUCUAUAGGUACAUCAGUGACAAAAGGAAGACCAGGGAAUUCGUGGGCCCUGUCUGGAAGGAAAUGGGAGACCUGGUCAUCUUGGAUAUGCAGAGGGCUGAGGUACUUAAUUGCUAUUAUGAGGAAUGUUUUAACAAUUCCAAUUCGUGUCCAUAAAUUCGUGUCCAUAAAGAACAACUCUGUUUGAAUCCUGUCUGCCUCUGGGUCCUGCACUGGCAAUUUAAUUCUUGAACCACAGAUGC